CCCUGCAUUCAUAAGUGAUCAGAAGUUACCCAUGCCCUGGGCAUUGGCAGUACAGGCAGAGGAUAUGUGGAAGGAACCGUCCUGUGUUGCGAAGGUCCACACCCACACCUUCCAGUGCUGGGAGCUUUCCCACA